UACGGGGGGGCAAGCGUUGUUCGGAAUUACUGGGCGUAAAGGGCUCGUAGGCGGCCAACUAAGUCGGAUGUGAAAUCCCCAGGCUUAACCUGGGAACUGCAUCCGAUACUGGAUGGCUUGAAUCCGGGAGAGGGAUGCAGAAUUCCCGGUGUAGUGGUGAAAUGCGUAGAUAUCGGGAGGAACACCAGUGGCGAAGGCGGCUUCCUGGCCGUGUUCUUGACGCUGAGGCGCGAAAGCUAGGGGAGCAAACGGG
rnacentral:rRNA from 1 species